ensembl:snRNA U4 U4 spliceosomal RNA
AGCUUUGCGCAGUGGCAGUAUCGUAGCCAAUGAGGUUUAUCCGAGGCGCGAUUAUUGCUAAUUGAAAAACACCGAUUUGGGUACCAAAAUGAGCAGACUGGAUUUGUGCUACUUGUGCACCACUGCUGGU